rnacentral:rRNA from 1 species
UACGUAGGUGGCAAGCGUUGUCCGGAAUUAUUGGGCGUAAAGCGUACGUAGGCGGUUUCUUAAGUCUGAUGUGAAAGCCCACGGCUCAACCGUGGAGGGUCAUUGGAAACUGGGGAACUUGAGUGCAGAAGAGGAGAGUGGAAUUCCAAGUGUAGCGGUGAAAUGCGUAGAGAUUUGGAGGAACACCAGUGGCGAAGGCGACUCUCUGGUCUGUAACUGACGCUGAGGUACGAAAGCGUGGGGAGCGAACAGG